AGUGAACGCUGGCGGUAGGCCUAACACAUGCAAGUCGAACGGCAGCACAGUAAGAGCUUGCUCUUACGGGUGGCGAGUGGCGGACGGGUGAGGAAUACAUCGGAAUCUACUUUUUCGCGGGGGAUAACGUAGGGAAACUUACGCUAAUACCGCAUACGACCUACGGGUGAAAGCAGGGGAUCUUCGGACCUUGCGCGAUUGAAUGAGCCGAUGGCGGAUUAGCUAGUUGGCGGGGUAAAGGCCCACCAAGGCGACGAUCCGUAGCUGGUCUGAGAGGAUGAUCAGCCACACUGGAACUGAGACACGGUCCAGACUCCUACGGGAGGCAGCAGUGGGGAAUAUUGGACAAUGGGCGCAAGCCUGAUCCAGGCAUACCGCGUGGGUGAAGAAGGCCUUCGGGUUGUAAAGCCCUUUUGUUGGGAAAGAAAAGCAGCAGGUGAAUACCCCGCUGUUCUGACGGUACCCAAAGAAUAAGCACCGGCUAACUUCGUG
rnacentral:rRNA from 1 species